UGGUGGUGUGAAUUGUCUGCUUAAUUGCGAUAACGAACGAGAUCUUCACCUACUAAAUAGCAACGCGGAACCUCAGGUUCCCGGUAGGCUUCUUAGAGGGACUAUAUAAGCUAAUUAUAUGGAAGCUGGAGGCAAUAACA
rnacentral:rRNA from 1 species